UACGAAGGGGGCUAGCGUUGUUCGGAUUUACUGGGCGUAAAGCGCACGUAGGCGGAUCGUUAAGUCGAGGGUGAAAUCCUGGAGCUCAACUCCAGAACUGCCUUCGAUACUGGCGAUCUAGAGUCCGGAAGAGGUGAGUGGAACUCCUAGUGUAGAGGUGGAAUUCGUAGAUAUUAGGAAGAACACCAGUGGCGAAGGCGACUCACUGGUCCGGUACUGACGCUGAGACGCGAAAGCGUGGGGAUCAAACAGG
rnacentral:rRNA from 1 species